rnacentral:rRNA from 1 species
UACGGGGGGGGCAAGCGUUGUUCGGAAUUACUGGGCGUAAAGGGCUUGUAGGUGGCCAACUAAGUCAGACGUGAAAUCCCUCAGCUUAACUGGGGAACUGCGUCUGAUACUGGCGAGCUCGAGGCAGGUAGGGGAAGCGGAAUUCCCGGUGUAGUGGUGGAAUGCGUAGAUAUCGGGAGGAACACCAGUGGCGAAGGCGGCUUCCUGGACCUGUUCUGACACUGAGGAGCGAAAGCGUGGGGAGCGAGUCCGG